rnacentral:rRNA from 1 species
AUGGCGGCGGAGAAGACUUUGGCGACGACGGCGUGGUCGUACCCGUACGUGGAGUACAUGGCGCAGUGGGAGCGGCAGGUGGAGCGGCGGCAGCUGUUCCUCCGGAGCUACCACUUCUCCCGCGACGCCGAGGUCUCGCCGCGCGCGCGCACGCGCCGCGUCGUCUGGGCCGGGGCUCGUCGCCUGCGCCGCGCCGCCGCCAAGGGGCUCCGACGCCUCCGGGCGCGCAUCCGCCUCUACUUCGGCUGGGCCGCGCCCGCGCUCCGCCGCCGCUCCUCCCCACGCCGGGGCGCCGUCCACGGGUUCCGGUACGGCCGCCUCCCCCGGAAGGCGCCGCCGGCCGCGUCCGUCUGCUUCUGGUAG